rnacentral:rRNA from 1 species
AUUGGGCGAAAGCGCGCGCAGGUGGUUUCUUAAGUCUGAUGUGAAAGCCCACGGCUCAACCGUGGAGGGUCAUUGGAAACUGGGAGACUUGAGUGCACAAGAGGAAAGUGGAAUUCCAUGUGUAGCGGUGAAAUGCGUAGAGAUAUGGAGGAACACCAGUGGCGAAGGCGACUUUCUGGUCUGUAACUGACACUGAGGCGCGAAAGCGUGGGGAGCAAACAGGAUUAGAUACCCUGGUAGUCCACGCCGUAAACGAUGAGUGCUAAGUGUUAGAGGGUUUCCGCCCUUUAGUGCUGAAGUUAACGCAUUAAGCACUCCGCCUGGGGAGCACGGCCGCAAGGCUGAAACUCAAAGGAAUUGACGGGCGCCCGCACAAGCGGUGGAUCAUGUGUUUUAUUUCA